ensembl:lncRNA
CCAGUCGCCAUGGCGACAGUGACCUCACGCUGUCGCGUAGCAACCGCUGACAUCAUCCCGGUCCUGUUCUCAUGGAAACCCGCGGGGAGGGGUGGGGGGGGUUGUGGGGAGGCAAUGACAGCCCCGGGCGGGGUCCCGGGACCAUCCCCCCCCCUCCCAGCAACGGAGCCCCCUCGUACGGCGAGGAAAGGGUUAACUCGCAUAAAUCAGCAUAAUAUAGGGACGUCAGCCCGCGUCAGCCAACUGCAGGGGGUGGGUGGGGAAACGUGAGCAGCACGGGGGAGAGGGGGGAGGUGGGCUGCACUCUUCAUCCUCCCUAACGCGAGCACCCCCUAUCCCACGUAAUGCGCACUCUGCAUCCUACGUAAUGUGCAUCCCAUUUCAAAGUGCACCCCGUGUCCUCGCACCCCCCAGGCUUUGUGCCCUGUGUCACCUUCCCUGGGUGUCCCCAAGCCUGCACUGAAGCCAGAGGGCAGAGCAGCAUCUGCACCCCGCAGGACUCCAGCUCCAGAUCAGCCGCCCCGGCGUACUGCAGGCACCCACCUCCGUGCACGGCUGUGCUCAUUUUCAUGACCCCACACACCCUAUGAAUUACCCUAAAGCAUUCAUUUCCCUCUAAGCUCUCAGGCUGCCUGCUUAUUAUGGGUUUGUGUUUCCAAGGACCCCAUGGAGGUGGCCAGGAGGAACAGGGCUGCUUGCCCGGCUCCUGGGGGAACUGCCCUGGGGGUCUGGGAGGGGGCAGGAGCUGGGUGCAGGGACCUUUCUGGUGGGAUGGAAGACAUGGCAUACCCCACAGGGGCUGGCACUCCGUGCUGUUGCAGUCACAGUGAGGUACCCCCAGGGCAGCAGUGGAUCCAUCUCAAAAAGGUCAAAUGUCACCAAACUGGAAAGGGUCCCCAUUUCAUCUUCAUCCCUCAUUCCCCACCAGUGGACCCCAAAUAGAGUGCACAGAGGGGGCCAGCCGUGCUUCAUGAUUCCACAGCACAUCUUAAGACCUUUGAGUCCCCUUGUGAACGUGGAGGUGGUAAAUGUCACCAGCUGGGUGGCAGGGUGGGGGCCGGACACAGAAAACCCCAACAAAGGGCAGCCAUUGUCUGUGGGGUGAGGCUGUGGGGUCGGGGGGAACUCGCUGCGUGCCCCUCGCUCCCACCACCCAGGUGCCCCAAUGAAUGGGUGGCAUUGUCCCCCUGAGCCCCGCGUGGGAGGUGAUGCAGAUCCCAAAUGGGCAGCAGGGAAGGGACACUGUGUGCCACCGCCCCAUCCUGCUCCGGGCCCCAUUCCCACAUCCCGGAUGAUCCCGCCCGGGCUCUCUGUUUCAGGACCUUUUAUGGCCAUUGGUGCUGGCAGACGUUUCACAGCCCACUGCGUCCCGCCAGGCAGGGACAGGGACAUUGCUGGGGUCACCCUGAAGUUCCACAUCAGCUCCUGCCUCGUGACAGCAGUGGCUUAGUGUGGCACACCGAUAACUUUACUUUGUGCUUGCUGCUGUGUGCUGGGAUGGACGGAGCGAGGGAUGCUGCCAGAUAUCCAACAACGGUGACGUGAGGUCCCCAGAGGGUCCCACGGGGUCCCAAACAUCCCUCCCUGGAGCUGGCUGCAGAUGUGCGGAUGAAGCGGUCCCUCCGCAAUGGGUGAAAAGCACUGCUCCAAAUACAGCCCAUAAUUUCCACUCGUGGCAGGAGCUAUGGAACAGGUUCUUCAGCGAGCCAGAGCAGGGUGACGGGAUGGGGAGAGGCUGGGAAUGGAGCCAGUGGGGACUUGGCACCGGCAGCCGGAGCCGCCCCUGCUCGGUGGAGAGGGACCUGCGACCCCGGUGGAAGCUGUGCACUGCAGCAGGGAAAGCUGCACAAAUCCAGCGUUAUCCUGGCAUUUCAGGGCUGGGAGCGUGCCCAGCUCCUGGCAGAGCCCGCACAGGCUGGCACGGCCCUCCCCGGUGCUGCGCUGAGACCGCGCCAACUCACUGCAGCGCAAGGAGCGACGCCAGAUCCCACUGAGCGAGGCGGUGCUGCUGCCUCCUGGUGCUGGGCCUCGGGGAUGAAGGCUGCGAAAAGGGGACAGCAUGGGACGCGGCGCUCCGCCAGCCUGUUGUUGUGACUCUUAGAGACCUGGUGGCACCCGUCCAACUCAUCGCAUCCGUUCUCUGCCAGGGCUGGAGCAGAGCGGACCGCGUGCGGGGCGGGAUGGCGGCGGUGGGACGGGGAGCGCGGGGGAAACUGAGGCACAGGGGCGGCUCUGCGGGCGGAGCGCUCCCCGGAGGGCGGCGGAGAUAACGCUAAAAAUACGCCGGGCGCUUUGUUACCGGCGACAAUAGCCCGAGGUAUUUUUAGCUGUUGCGGCGUGAGCAGCGUUGUGACCCCCCCGCCCCGCCGCCCCAGCCCGGCUCCUCACGGCCCCCGGGGUUCGGGGCCGCUUCCCGGUGCUGUGGAAACGGUAACGUUAGAAACUAAACACAAACACCUCCCGGCUGCCACCCCCAGCUGAGUCACGGCG